GACGAACCGAGCGAACGUUGUUCGGAAUCACUGGGCUUAAAGGGCGCGUAGGCGGGUGACUAAGUCUGUGGUGAAAUCCGGCAGCUUAACUGUCGAAUUGCCAUGGAUACUGGUUGUCUCGAGGGAGGCAGGGGUGCGCGGAACUAAUGGUGGAGCGGUGAAAUGCGUUGAUAUCAUUAGGAACGCCGGUGGCGAAGGCGGCGCACUGGUCCUCUUCUGACGCUGAGGCGCGAAAGCCAGGGGAGCAAACGGG
rnacentral:rRNA from 1 species